rnacentral:rRNA from 1 species
UACGGGGGGGGCAAGCGUUGUUCGGAAUUACUGGGCGUAAAGGGCUCGUAGGCGGCCAACUAAGUCAGACGUGAAAUCCCUCGGCUUAACCGGGGAACUGCGUCUGAUACUGGGAGGCUAGAGUGUGAUAGAGGAUGGUGGAAUUCCCGGUGUAGCGGUGAAAUGCGUAGAGAUCGGGAGGAACACCAGUGGCGAAGGCGGCCAUCUGGAUCAACACUGACGCUGAGGCACGAAAGCGUGGGGAGCAAACAGG